rnacentral:rRNA from 1 species
CGGAGGGUGCAAGCGUUAUCCGGAUUCACUGGGUUUAAAGGGUGCGAAGGUGGGCAAGUAAGUCAGUGGUGAAAUCUCCGGGCUUAACCCGGAAACUGCCAUUGAUACUAUUUGUCUUGAAUACUGUGGAGGUCAGCGGAAUAUGUCAUGUAGCGGUGAAAUGCUUAGGUAUGACAUAGAACACCAAUUGCGAAGGCAGCUGGCUACACAAAUAUUGACACUGAGGCACGAAAGCGUGGGGAUCAAACAGGAUUAGAUACCCUGGUAGUCCACGCCCUAAACUAUGGAUACUCGACAUUUGCGAUAAACUGCAAGUGUCUGAGCGAAAGCAUUAAGUAUCCCACCUGGGAAGUACGAUCGCAAGAUUG